UUGGAGCACUUUAGUGCUGACACUUUCAUUACCUGGUAAGUGACGACCCUUCAUUUGAGCACACACACCUUUGACAAUGGGCAACAGUGCUGUGACAUAAAGUCCAUUGACACACUCCCUUUGUUUUGGAUUUUGUAUUGCGACUGCAAAGCUGUGAAAAGUUUUAUUGUGUGAUCACACCACAUUGGUGUUGUCUUUGGUGGCCUAUUUUAGUUGUAUUUGUAGUCUAGUCUUUGUGGCUAUAGCUAUCAUUUUAGUGAUUAUUUGUAGUUACUAUUGUUUUUAGUGUCGUCCAGUUUUAUUGAACUAAAAGCCUGAGCAUUUUUGUCUUGCUUUACUCUCAGUGAUCCAUGGCUAUUUUCGACUAGUUUUAGACGAAGAAAACUGAUGACAUUUUUACCUAAAGUUACAAUAAUUUAAUUAAUUUUUAAUCAUGUGAUUCUAUUUUGCCCAGUCAAUAUUGUUUAAGUAGCUAGAGGUGGAGAAGAAGCAUACCUCUACUGUUUGUGCAGAGGGGCAGCAGGCAUCGUGCAGGGGCAGCUCAGUGCAAGACACAGGGAGAUGUUCGGAAGCCCUUAUCACUCAAUCACUGAGGAUGUCACGUGUCAUUUUUUACCCCACCCGUGGCUCUUCUCUUUAGUGCCAGUGCCAUCAGAAAGUCAACUGUGACUGGAACACACAGUCGUUUGAGGGGCUUUACACAGCAAACAUUAUUACAUUACUAUGCAUUAGAUGAAAUCAGUGCCAUCCCAUGGCUUACCUAACCUCAACCCAUGACUUUUUUUUUCAACAAGGUUUCACGUUGCCCAAAUGUCAACAUUUGACUUCCAGGGAGUGAGACUGUGGAAUGCUGCAGCAUGUCAGCUUUAUUGCGUGUACACCCCCCAGGUGGAAUUGAAUAUUGCAGUACAGUCUCACAUGUUGAAUGUCUAUUUUACAGAAAAGUUGUAUCUCAACGCCACUGUUUGACGAAGACAGAAAGAUAGGACCAGCUGCAGAUGCUGUGUAUUUUAAGCAGCGUCUGCCCUCCCUGAAUCCAGCAACUUAGUUCAUACAUUAGCAAGUAUGAACUUUCACAACGAUGACGGUUACAUCACUGUGUAAAUACUCAGAAUCAGACUCAGCUUUAUUGCCAAUGUCAGUGAGGAUCCCACCAACCAGCAAAGUCUUUGGUACAUCACACAAUAAUGAACAAAAAAAUAAAAUAAAAAUAAUAAACAUAACUGGUAAAUAAAUAAACCACAAACAAUAAGGGCUGUUCACAAAUUCAUCAGUCUGAUGGAUGUGACAGGAGGUUCUGGUCUGGAUUGACCGUAGCUUCCUGCCAGAGGGAAGAGGUACAAACAGGAAUAUCGCAGGACCCAAGUGCAACGUGUUGAGAGACAAGCACCAAAGGCAAGAAGUUGAUAAAUAUUAUUAUUUAUAUGCAAUAGUCUAAGUUUACUUGUACGCCAUUAACUGCAAGACUUACAGGUGCACAGUGAGAUGAAAAAGGAAAACACCAAACAAAUUACAACCCAAAAUAAAAGCGGAACAUAACGCACUCUGCCUUUGCUCAACAAUACAAGAAGACGUAAAAACAGUACCAGUGAGACCGAAACAUUUUUGUGGCAGCUGUUUUACAGACUUUAUUUCUACAGGGGUAAAUUGUUUAAAAAAAGUAACACUACUACCCAACACUACACAGUCAGAACACUCAGCUGGGUUUGUUCACCAUCUCCUGUACCUCUGUACCGCUGUCACAGUGAAAUUCACUCUAAAUCCAGAUGGUGAUUUAAUUUACUGGGGGACUGUGUUGAACAAGGGACUUCAACAAACACUUAACCCAAAGCAUCACAGAGCUGACAACUCUCUCUGUGGUUUCACACCAGAUGUUCUUCCACAUAACAAGCAAGUGUUUUCCCCAUUUGAUUCACAAAAUUUUCUGACAAAUUUUAUAUUGUUGAACUGUCAACUGCAUACACAUCAUUGAUCAGAUCACAAUGGAAAAGAGCUGGAAACAAAACAAAUCAUCUCUGGAAAUGUACAAAUGUGAAUGGAAUGUAAAGAUGAAUCAUUUCAUAAGAUAGUUGUUUGUAGGUUUUGGAGAAGUGUGUAAAGACACAUUUUAGAUUUUAGAUUCUUCAAAACAGCCUUUGCUUUGAUGACUUCUUUGAUCACUCUUGACUUUCUCAUGAUGAGCUUCAUGGUGCAGCCACCUGAUAAGGCUUUCAAAAGUGACUACAUGAAGAAGCUUAAGAAGACCAAGGGUUUGAAGUGUUGCCAGCAAAUCAAAAGGUGGCCGCAUCCAAACUAUAUAACAUAUUUAGAGUUAUUCAACAUUUCAAAAUUCACAUUUGUUGUUGUUUUAUUGUUUUAUUUAUUUAGUGGAAGCGGUGUUUCAACGGAGCGCGCACUAUCAAUGGUCACUCACACUCAGGAAAAGGAGAUCCGACUCCUUUUGCUUGUGACUCAAUGUGCACAGUAUGGUUAAUAGUUGAUCAUAAAAUAUGGAAAUCACUUCAAUAAUUUCUGCUGCACCACACACUGUAUGUUCUGGGUGAGCUGGUCCUGCUUGCAUGUUACACUGAACGUUUAAAAUCCCACAACUGCCUAUGAACCAGUAGAAAGCUCACUGAAAUAAUUAUUCAAAUCCACAGAUUUUACAGUGGAGAGUGCCAUCUAGAGGGCUCUGAAGAGGAGGACACUGCCAUGUGGAACCUCAUCAGCCCAUCACUUGGGUCGAGUGGCCGAUCUAGCUCAUAGCAACACCUCUCAUCCUUGUCACACAGACCAAGGCACACUGAAUCCAGGUUUCACGUGUAUUUAGAAGCCUGUCUCCGAGCUCAGUCAGCAGUCGGAAAAAAAAAAAAAAAACAACAAUAAUAGAAGUAAUAAAUACAUAAUAAACUUGGAGACGCCCAUAAAUGAAAUCAGUGUGUUUUUGUACAAUACCUGUCUUUUGUAACCCACUUUCAAUAUUACUGAAAUAAGGUUUAUAAAAAUAAAAGUAAAAUAAACCUUAGUUUUGCCAGAAAUGAGGCGAAAUUCUGGGUUUCUCUUUCACUAACUUUGAAUUAGUAAUAUAGUGAUAUACUCCAUGAACCUAACCUGCUUCUUCAAUAUAAAUAAUUGUUUCCCCUGUAAAAGCAUGUAAACUCUAAAGGAAAAUGCGUUACUUUCCUCAAAAUAUGUGACAUGUGUGAUUGUAUGAUUAUUUUCUAUUACUAUUUUUUAUCAUUGAGUGUUGAUUCUUGGCUGUCAGCAUCAGAAAAGAAUGGCAUUGAAGUUAUUGUAAAAAAAAAGAAAAAAUCAAAGACCUUUUAGAUGAUUCUCAGUCAUUGUGAUGUUUUGCAUUUUUUAAGCAUAAAUUGUAGGUGUGCAAGACAAUUUUGACAUGAGACUGUGAUAGAAAUUGUGCAGUUGGUUGAAGAGGACAGUUGAUGUUUAUGAUAAUUGCAGUUUACAGUAAUCCAUUACUGUAUAAAACAAAUCCACCAUACGCAUGACACAAGCUGUGUUUAAGCAGUUCAGAGGCACGUGGAUCACUAAACUAGAUUCUGUCGUGGCCCUCAUCUGGGAAAACAGCAGAUCAGAGGCCAAAUAUGAUUUAAUCCAUGAGCACACAUGCUACUGUUCAGUGAUAUCUGAAAUAUGUCACUAUACAUUCCUUUUUGCUGACCAGAAUUAAAUCACGGGGUCCAAUUAGCCGGUCAAACAGAACCCCAGAAAUAACACUGAGGCAUGUGCUCUCUGUCUCAUUAAUGGGGUUUGUUGUGGACGGUGUUUGAAGAUUUGGGUUAUGCAAAUCCAUUCCAAGCAGGUCUUGCAGUGAAAGAAGCGGACUGCAAACUAGAAUAUCUAAAGGUUAGUGAUUUGCAGCACAGUGGGCUGACAUUUUCUCAGUGACCCCCACUAUCACAGCCUCUGUUUGGCAUUUCACACCAGUAGUUAUGUAAAGCACGAAGUGCAAGAAGUGAUUUCCAACAGAAAACAUGUUUGGUGUUGCCCUCACCGAUAACCUCUUGGUGCGCACAUUUGUAUUCAAGUUCACUUCUUUUCUCAGUAUUUCCUUUAACUUUUUAAACCUCUUUCCUACACUCCUGAAACUUGGUCACAGCCGAUAAAGGCAACCUCUAAAUCUUCUUCAGGCUCCUCUGUCUUUCCUGUCUUGGUUGUGAUGCUUAUGACAGUGAGUCAGACUUUAACAGAACACAGACUUUCUCUCUCUCUUCAUUAUACGACUAUCAAGACAGUGUUUUGACAAGAUGGUCUUCAACAGGCCAACAGGAGAGAGUGGACGAGAUCGGAAAGUGCCGAAAGGUUGAAGAUUGCCUUGAAGGACAAGCAAGGAUUUGCAGACCCCUGUGGACCUCCAACCUUGUGUGUGAAAAGGAAAUCUUUACGACAAUGUCAGAUAUGAUAAACUACAACACUUCAAUGACAAGUGACUGGCAAAACACACUGAAUUAGAUGAGAGUUGGAAGAGGAUGUGCUCCCUGUGUGCUAUCUGGGAACACAAACCUUGUUAAACUGUGAUUCAAAGCAAUCUGUUGAUCUUCAAAAACAGACAUCGCUUUAUAAAGCUCCAUUUGCUCAUCACCACUGACGUCUGCGGAUCAAUCUUAUUUUCUGUUCAUUUGUAGAAUAUGUGACUCAAACAUCACCAUGAAUCCCGGAUAUCACUUUAGUUCAUUUAUUUGCUGACUGAAAUAAUGCAGAGGGAACCAUGUGAAACAUGUACAGUACGUGGAAACAAUAUGCCAGACUCGGCUGCAUUGACUCAGCAACAGUAAGAAAGUAAGAAAUCUCCAACUUACUCAUGACACCAGUCACCGUGAUUGAAACACAGUCAUUUAAGACUCUUUAUAACAAGUGAUACAUUGCAACAGACAAAGUGAAAGGAGUGUCACUCAAUUCCUAACUCUUGCCCCAAACUCAUGUUUAUUUUACACAAGAUGCCAACCACUGCGUCAGUAUAUGCGCUUCACGAACAAGUCAGUUGUCAAGAGUUGCUGCUUGACGCCUUGGGAGUGUGAAUGUGUUCACACAAAAUAUCCUCCACUAACCCUGUGUUCGCUGGAAUUGGUGUCCCACAGGCAACUCUCUUGAAAUAUAAAAGACAUAAAAGAAAGAAAGAAUGUGAUUCUACUGCAUGCAUCUCAAGGAGAGUACCGUAACCUUAUACUCCUGAUGAUACUCCCUUGACUCGGAAGAACGACAUGCAUGCCCAUCCGUCG